rnacentral:lncRNA from 1 species
UGAACAAAGGCCGCUUUGUAUUGUGUAAAUGGUUUUGCAACGUAUGAUAAACUCCUUGUCUUUCGGGCUUAUUUUUUCUGACAGGAAGAAAAAAAAAAGAGGCUUUACAUGAGAACGGAUCAAGCGUUCGAGAGUUGGGACAGGGAAAUGUGAGACGUACUUUCAUGUAUAUAUUUCUAAUAUUAUUUUUUCGUCUUGUAUUCUCGUUAAUUUUUCUCUAGGAAACACUGGAACGACACUGCUUAAAUUGAAGCACAGUGUGCGAAUGACCUGCUACGCUCGGAACUGUUAUCACCAUUCGGGAAGAAAUUGGAUGAAAAAACAUAACUGUAAAUACCUGUAUGAUAUACGUCUGGUGCAUUGCAGGUAAGAAUGGAUUGUGUGUGGCGCGCUUCACCGCAUGUGGACUAGAGUAGAUCUAGGAACAUCAGACAAGAAGACACGUAUGUGAAACCCUGCGGAUAGCCCAUAUGUGAACUUUUUUUCCAGAUACGGAGGAACGGACACCGGUCGUGCCGUGAGCACUAUUCUGCAGGGCAUACUUACAAAUGAAGCUGCACUGCAGUUCAGCUGGAAAGGGUCGCAGGGGAGGAAGCACGCCUUCGUGAAGCUCAUGGCCAUCACGAAUAUAACAUUUGUGAGGAGCACGUUCCCUGACGCUUCACUAUAGCAUCAGUGGCUGGAGUCGCAAAACGCUGGUUGGUUGGAGCAGCUGACAGGGAUGGAGGCCGGAAUGAAAGAAGGCGCCGUGACCCUGCUUCAAGCCCACCAAAUAUGAACUAGUGUUUGAAACUUGUGAACGUGUCGGUGUACAUAUACAAUUACAAGAAAUAAAGACCUGUAUCAGAAUCUUUUGCCUGGCAUUUAUGUGGCAUGAAAAGUACAAAAAAGCGUUCGCUUUCGUGUGGUACUUCUAUGCCGGCCACCACACAAGCAUG